rnacentral:rRNA from 1 species
GGCGGCGUGCCUAAUACAUGCAAGUAGAACGCUGAAGGAGGAGCUUGCUCUUCUGGAUGAGUUGCGAACGGGUGAGUAACGCGUAGGUAACCUGCCUGGUAGCGGGGGAUAACUAUUGGAAACGAUAGCUAAUACCGCAUAAUAUUGAUUAUUGCAUGAUAGUCAAUUAAAAGGUGCAAUUGCAUCACUACCAGAUGGACCUGCGUUGUAUUAGCUAGUUGGUGAGGUAACGGCUCACCAAGGCAACGAUACAUAGCCGACCUGAGAGGGUGAUCGGCCACACUGGGACUGAGACACGGCCCAGACUCCUACGGGAGGCAGCAGUAGGGAAUCUUCGGCAAUGGACGGAAGUCUGACCGAGCAACGCCGCGUGAGUGAAGAAGGUUUUCGGAUCGUAAAGCUCUGUUGUAAGAGAAGAACGAGUGUGAGAGUGGAAAGUUCACACUGUGAC